GGCUACCAUGCAGUCGAGGGGCAGCAUGGUCUUAGCUUGCUAAGGCCGAUGGCGACCGGCGCACGGGUGAGUAACACGUAUCCAACCUGCCGUCUACUCUUGGACAGCCUUCUGAAAGGAAGAUUAAUACAAGAUGGCAUCAUGAGUCCGCAUGUUCACAUGAUUAAAGGUAUUCCGGUAGACGAUGGGGAUGCGUUCCAUUAGAUAGUAGGCGGGGUAACGGCCCACCUAGUCUUCGAUGGAUAGGGGUUCUGAGAGGAAGGUCCCCCACAUUGGAACUGAGACACGGUCCAAACUCCUACGGGAGGCAGCAGUGAGGAAUAUUGGUCAAUGGGCGAGAGCCUGAACCAGCCAAGUAGCGUGAAGGAUGACUGCCCUAUGGGUUGUAAACUUCUUUUAUAAAGGAAUAAAGUCGGGUAUGNAUACCCGUUUGCAUGUACUUUAUGAAUAAAGAUCGGCUAACUCCGUGCCAGCAGCCGCGGUAAUACGGAGGAUCCGAGCGUUAUCCGGAUUUAUUGGGUUUAAAGGGAGCGUAGAUGGAUGUUUAAGUCAGUUGUGAAAGUUUGCGGCUCAACCGUAAAAUUGCAGUUGAUACUGGAUAUCUUGAGUGCAGUUGAGGCAGGCGGAAUUCGUGGUGUAGCGGUGAAAUGCUUAGAUAUCACGAAGAACUCCGAUUGCGAAGGCAGCCUGCUAAGCUGCAACUGACAUUGAGGCUCGAAAGUGUGGGUAUCAAACAGGAUUAGAUACCCUGGUAGUCCACACGGUAAACGAUGAAUACUCGCUGUUUGCGAUAUACGGCAAGCGGCCAAGCGAAAGCGUUAAGUAUUCCACCUGGGGAGUACGCCGGCAACGGUGAAACUCAAAGGAAUUGACGGGGGCCCGCACAAGCGGAGGAACAUGUGGUUUAAUUCGAUGAUACGCGAGGAACCUUACCCGGGCUUAAAUUGCAGAUGAAUUACGGUGAAAGCCGUAAGCCGCAAGGCAUCUGUGAAGGUGCUGCAUGGUUGUCGUCAGCUCGUGCCGUGAGGUGUCGGCUUAAGUGCCAUAACGAGCGCAACCCUUGUUGUCAGUUACUAACAGGUUCCGCUGAGGACUCUGACAAGACUGCCAUCGUAAGAUGUGAGGAAGGUGGGGAUGACGUCAAAUCAGCACGGCCCUUACGUCCGGGGCUACACACGUGUUACAAUGGGGGGUACAGAGGGCCGCUACCACGCGAGUGGAUGCCAAUCCCAAAAACCUCUCUCAGUUCGGACUGGAGUCUGCAACCCGACUCCACGAAGCUGGAUUCGCUAGUAAUCGCGCAUCAGCCACGGCGCGGUGAAUACGUUCCCGGGCCUUGUACACACCGCCCGUCAAGCCAUGGGAGCCGGGGGUACCUGAAGUGCGUAACCGCGAGAGCGCCCUAGG
rnacentral:rRNA from 1 species